rnacentral:rRNA from 1 species
GAUGAACGCUGGCGGCGUGCUUAACACAUGCAAGUUGAACGAAGUGGCGGAUGGGCGAGUAACACGUGAGGAACCUGCCUUUCACAGGGGAAUAACACUGGGAAACCAGUGCUAAUACCGCAUAGUGAAAGAUGGCCUCGCGCCUGAUUAGCUAGUGGGUGAGGUAACGGCUCACCUAGGUGAUGAUCAGUACCCGCACUGAAGGUGUAGCGUCCGAAUUGGGACUGAGACACGGCCCAGACCAUUGCGGGAGGCAGCACUGGGGAAUAUUGGUGAAUGGCGCCAGCCUGACCAAGCAACGCCGCGUGAAGGAAGACGGUCUUCGGAUUGUAAACUUCUUUAGACAGGGACGCGGUACCUGUAGAAUAAGCCACGGCUAACUACGUGCCAGCCGCCGCGGUAAUAC